UAAUAAAAAUUUCAUCUAUUUUUACUAGUUAAAAAACUAGUGUGCUGAUAGAAUAAUCGGACAAUUACACAAGGCAUGUCACAUUAUCUCAUUUUGACAUACAUGAAUCAAUUUUUAAUAGUAGAAAUAGAUGAAUUUUUUAAUA
rnacentral:pre_miRNA from 1 species